rnacentral:misc_RNA from 1 species
GAUGAAGAACGCAGCGAAAUGCGAUACGUAAUGUGAAUUGCAGAUUUCAGUGAAUCAUCGAAUCUUUGAACGCACAUUGUGCCCGCCAGUAUUCUGGCGGGCAUGCCUGUUCGAGCGUCAUUUCAACCAUCAAGCGCCUCGCUUGUGUUGGGGCCCUGCGGCUGCCGCAGGCCCCUAAAUCCAGUGGCGGGCUCGUCGUCGUACCGAGUGCAGUAAACAUCCUCGCUCAGGGAACCCGACGGGUGCCGGCCGUGAAACCCCCCCUCCUCAAGGUUGACCUCGGAUCAGGUAGGAAUACCCGCUGAACUUAAGAAUAUCAAUAAGCGGAGGA